AUUGAACGCUGGCGGCAGUCUUAACACAUGCAAGUCGAGCGAGCGGCUGACGGGUGAGUAAUGUAUGGGGAUCUGCCUGAUGGCGGGGGAUAACUACUGUAAACUGUAGCUAAUACCGCGUACCAUCAGAUUAACCCAUAUGGGAUUAGCUUGUAGGUGAGGUAACGGCUCACCUAGGCGACGAUCCCUAGCUGGUCUGAGAGGAUGAUCAGCCACACUGGGACUGAGACACGGCCCAGACUCCUACGGGAGGCAGCAGUGGGGAAUAUUGCACAAUGGGCGCAAGCCUGAUGCAGCCAUGCCGCGUGUAUGAAGAAGGCCUUCGGGUUGUAAAGUACUUUCAGUCGGGAGGCGUUACCGACAGAAGAAGCACCGGCUAACUCCGUGCCAGCAGCCGCGGUAAUUC
rnacentral:rRNA from 1 species